rnacentral:lncRNA from 1 species
GCCAUCCAGUCAGUCUUCAGACAUCCCCACAGGCAACCUCAGUUUAUAUUUUUUUCAGUAUUCAUUGGUAUUGGCAGCUCUUCAAGUGACUGGCUCACAGGAUCUGGGUGGCAGCCUGAAUGCAAACUCUGAGCCCCUUGCAAGUCCUUCUUCAGAGGUGCCUGGUGUGAGACAGUAAACCAUGCCAUGAAGCUUGCUAAGGUAGCGCUGGUCUGAUAUCCAGAGACUUGGUCUUCUUGUUUUCCUUACCUGACCUCUACAGUAGAAAGCACAGCACUGCAUUGAGGAGGGAGGAGCACAGCUUGGAUGUUUUCCUGAACUGAAGAUUUCUGUGCGACUCACAGAAGGAAACUGAGGCUGGAGAUGACAGAACAGCCUUUCCAGUCUGAGAAGGCAGCUUCAAGCUAAGUGCAUACUUGUCAGAGGCCUUCUGGGGCAGCUGACACCACUUCCUGAACCUAUGCAGUGUGGACCAGGGACCUGCUGUGAUAUGCUGUCACUCAGGAAAGCCAGAUCCACAACAGCUGACACCACGCCACCAAAGGAGGCUUCUGUUCCCAGAGGCCCUUUUGGUACUUCGCCUCUCUUAGAACAGGACCACUCUUCAUUCAUGGCCUCCUAACCCUUCGUCUCUGGUCCUCUCAGCCACCAUAGAUCUACCUAACCUUGAGUUCCAAAGCUCCACCAUAAGCCUCUACACUUCCCACUACCCAGCAUGCUUUCUGUUGACCAUUUAUCUUCCAAGGGCUUGAGCCCUGGCCCUGGAAUGACAGCUCACAGUUUGAAUUUUGUUCUACGAAUGUGUGAGACAUAAAGGAACACGUGAGCUCAUCAUAUCUGCUGCUGCGUACACUGGAACAGAGGUCAAGAACAUCCAUCCCGCUCUUCUGCACAGUGAACAAAGAGAAACAGAGACAAACAGGGCCCAAGAUCUAAGGGAAUACUGAGUAUGCACACGGGAGCGAUUGGCAAGAUCUAAAUGGAGAGAACUUGAGAGAGCCUUCAGCCAUUGAGCCCUAGUGACAAGGAUGGGCUCCAUCCCCUGAGGACGGUUUGUGAUGGUUCUGAGAUAAACCUCCUCCUAUCUUCUGCACCCAGAUACUGCAGCCAUGCAAGGCACCUUGGAAACAGCUUUAUUGCCCUGGUACUCUGAGAGAACUUCUCUUCUUAGGCCUACUUUAAAAACCAAGUCUGCAAAAUUCACACAGCAAAAGUUGAAACGGGAGUCCAUGUUCACUAAAAGCAAUGGGAGUCACACUGCAA